rnacentral:rRNA from 1 species
CGCUUAACACAUGCAAGUCGAGCGACCACCUAUCCGCUUGCGGAUACUGAAAGCGGCGAACGGGUGAGUAACACGUGGGUGACCUGCCCUCGGCAUCGGGACAGCCCGGGGAAACCCGGAUUAAUACCGAAUAGCCUCAUUGAUCUUCGGGUUGAUGAGAAAGGUAGCUUCGGCUUCUAGCCGAGGAUGGGCCCGCGCCCGAUUAGCUUGUUGGUGAGGUAACGGCUCACCAAGGCUACGAUCGGUAGCUGGUCUGAGAGGACGAUCAGCCACACUGGGACUGAGACACGGCCCAGACUCCUACGGGAGGCAGCAGUGGGGAAUCUUGCGCAAUGGGGCGAAAGCCUGACGCAGCGACGCCGCGUGCGGGAGGACGGCCUUAGGGUUGUAAACCGCUUUCAGGAGGGACGAAGCCACUCGGGUUAAUAGCCCAGUUUAGGGUGACGGUACCUCCAGAAGAAGCCCCGGCUAACUACGUGCCAGCAGCCGCGGUAA